rnacentral:rRNA from 1 species
UAAGGAAUAUUGGUCAAUGGACGCAAGUCUGAACCAGCCAUGCCGCGUGGAGGAUUAAGGCCCUCUGGGUUGUAAACUCCUUUUAUCUGGGAAGAAAUGUACUUUUUCUUGAGUACUUGACGGUACCAGAGGAAUAAGCACCGGCUAACUCCGUGCCAGCAGCCGCGGUAAUACGGAGGGUGCAAGCGUUAUCCGGAUUCACUGGGUUUAAAGGGUGCGUAGGUGGGCAGGUAAGUCAGUGGUGAAAUCUCCGGGCUUAACCCGGAAACUGCCGUUGAUACUAUUUGUCUUGGAUAUUGUGGAGGUAAGCGGAAUAUGUCAUGUAGCGGUGAAAUGCUUAGAUAUGACAUAGAACACCAAUUGCGAAGGCAGCUUACUACACAAUCAUUGACGCUGAGGCACGAAAGCGUGGGGAUCAAAC